GGUGAGUUAGGCCAUCUGACUUUUAAUCAGGUGGUCGCAGGUUCGAUCCCUGCACGCCCCACCA
rnacentral:tRNA from 1 species